rnacentral:rRNA from 1 species
AAAGAGAGGCGAGACCGCGAGGUGGAGCAAAUCUCAAAAAGCCGUCCCAGUUCGGAUUGCAGGCUGCAACCCGCCUGCAUGAAGUUGGAAUCGCUAGUAAUCGCGGAUCAGAAUGCCGCGGUGAAUACGUUCCCGGGCCUUGUACACACCGCCCGUCACACCAUGAGAGUCGGGAACACCCGAAGUCCGUAGCCUAACCGCAAGGAGGGCGCGGCCGAAGGUGGGUUCGAUAAUUGGGGUGAAGUCGUAACAAGGUACC